CCUACGAGCGGCAGCAGUGGGGAAUAUUGCACAAUGGGGGAAACCCUGAUGCAGCAACGCCGCGUGAAGGAAGACGGUUUUCGGAUUGUAAACUUCUGUUCUUAGUGAAGAAUAAUGACGGUAGCUAAGGAGCAAGCCACGGCUAACUACGUGCCAGCAGCCGCGGUAAUACGUAGGUGGCAAGCGUUGUCCGGAAUUACUGGGUGUAAAGGUAGCGCAGGGGGGAAGCCAAGUCAGCUGUGAAAACUACGGGCUUAACUUGUAGACUGCAGGUGAAACUGGUUUUCUUUAGUGAAGGAGAGGUUGGCAGAAUUCCGAGUGUAGCGGUGAAAUGCGUAGAUAUUCGGAGGAACACCGGUGGCGAAGGCGGCCAACUGGGCUUUAACUGACGCUGAGGCUCGAAAGUGUGGGGAGCAAACAGGAUUAGAUACCCUUGUAGUC
rnacentral:rRNA from 1 species